GACUAGCAGGACAGAGAAGUAAGAAUGUCUCAGAUUCACCGUUUUGAUGAAGAUCCCUCUCUCUCUCUCUCUCUCUCUCUCUCUCUCUCUCUCUCUCUCUCUCUAACUUAAUGAGGUUGUUUAUGAGAAGGGUAGCUCUAUCUAGUAGCUGGCCAGCUCCUAGAGUCGUCCUCUCAGUUGAGUGUUGAGGAAAUUCUGGAAUAUAUGAUUUAGGCGUGAGUUGAGCAAGAUGGAGAAGCAGGGCACGUGCAUUUCUAACUCAUUCGCAUAUACUGAGAUGUAUAUACUCAAUACUCUUAUUUUUCUCUGAGCUGCUAAAUUAUUACAAGUUUACAGAUAUAUAUCUCAUAUCCAGUGAUGAGUUAGUUGUUCAUGUGCCCCUCUUCCCCAUCAUGACCACUCCACCUUAUUGCUUCUAUGAAGAUUGUCACCGUAGAUCAUAACCAUGCGGACAUUCCAAUUCAUGUAUUCAGAAAAUGCUGAAUAAUUAGCUCCACUUCAGAUGCAGAGUCUGAUGCGCCUCUCAUCCGGUGAAGAAGAGGUGGGUUUCCUGGGCCCCUCAUUGGGUCGGAGCUUCCUAUCUCUCAUUCGUUCCCUCUGGAGUAAGCUUCUAAGUGAGAUGAUCUCGGCUUGUUCAUAAAUCGGCUGAUCACUCCCACUAUAUAUAUAUAUAUAUAUAUAUAUAUAUAUAUAUAUAUAUAUAUAUAUAUAUAUAUAUAUAAUCAUCCAAAGUGGUAUAGACAAAAGGGAAAUUGCUUUUUAGGUUUUCAAUUGUCCCCCUAGUAUGAGGAGGGAAGUUUUCCAAUUCUGGAAGUAAAAAAGGCUUAUGAAAAGCAAGCAAACCCCGUCAAGGUCUCACCAUAAUUGCUAUGAACAUCAUUUUUAUAACAAUGAUAUAGUUGGACAAUUUAACUGUGAUUACGAGAACUUAUUAGUCUUUUCACUUUCUCACUAAUCGAACAUUUUUUUUCUUUAAUUUCUGGAAUCCUUCAUAUUGCUCCUGUUGUUAUUCUUGUGCGGCUACUGAGGUAAAUCAACAUUAUUUGAGGGACUGGCUUGCAACAGUGAUGUAACUUUUGUAGAGGGACUUGCUUGCAACGGCAAUGUAACUUUUGUGACCUAACGACGAAGAGGGACUUGCCAGCAACAUGAAUAUAGCUUUUUCUGCGUCUUAAUCACAACAAAGACUUGCUUACAGUGAGGAUAGACCCUUUUGUGGUAUCCCCUUAUGUGUCUUUCUCACUUUUCAUAUGAUUAAAGAUAAUGCGGAGUGAGAAAGACACAUAAGGGCUAUUAUAUCUUCGUUGCAGGCAAGUCCCUCUUUGUGUUAGUGUUUAUUAAAUGAAUUGAAUUGUAUUUCUUUGAAUUUUAUUCAAUUUUGGAGAAAGAAAAUUGUUUAAGCUAUCUGAGUUUGAGGAAGAAGAAGGGUGGAGUUCAUGGCUCAA